GUGCCGGUGGUGUAAGGCGAACAUCGCUGCCCGGAAAGCAGAAGAUGCGGCUUCGAGUCCCGCCUGGCGCA
rnacentral:tRNA from 1 species